GUUAUGAUAUAUUAUUCAAGUUAUUUUGUAUCUGGUUCUUCAAAAGAUUUGAUUGGUUGCAUUGUUGUUAGGUCAAUAAGCAGGGAUUAGCUUGUUUAUUAUUUAUAUGCGUGAAUGGGGUAAUUUUGUUUGUGGAGUUGACAGUGCUUAUUUUUAAGGAGUUAUUAUAGAACAGCGGUUUUGUAUUAUUAUUUUAUGGUUGUGUGGUUAUUGGGGUUACUUUAUUAAUUUUUUUUAGUGGAAUAAUGAUUAUAUUAGUAAGAUUUUAUUUAUUUUUGAGUUGAGGUUCUAAAGUAAGUUGGAAGUGGGUAUUUUUAAUUUUUGAUUGGGGUAGAUGAAUUCGGCAAAGUUAAUCUUUGACUGUUUAGCAAAAACAUUGUUUUUUGUUGGGUUAGAAAAUAAGUUCUGUCCACUGCUAUUAGGUGAAGGGCUGCAGUAUUUUGACUGUAUGAAGGUAGCAUAAUCAUUAGCUUUUUAAUUGGGGGCUGGUAUGAAGGUGAAACAGGGAUUGUCUAUAUUUAUUCUACUGAUUGAAUUUUAUGUUUAUGUGAAAAAUCAUAAUUGAAUUAGAGGGACAAGAAGACCCUAAUAAGUUUUAUUUUUUUUAUUUUAUGAUGGUAUAGGUAUUAUUUAUUUGACUGGAGUAGGGGGGUUUAGCUGGGGCGGUUGUUUAGUUAACAUAAACAAAUUUUUAACUUUAUUUGGC
rnacentral:rRNA from 1 species